AUUGAACGCUGGCGGCAUGCCUUACACAUGCAAGUCGAACGGUAACAGGUUAAGCUGACGAGUGGCGAACGGGUGAGUAAUAUAUCGGAACGUGCCCAGUAGUGGGGGAUAGCCCGGCGAAAGCCGGAUUAAUACCGCAUACGACCUACGGGUGAAAGGGGGGGAUCGCAAGACCUCUCGCUAUUGGAGCGGCCGAUAUCAGAUUAGGUAGUUGGUGGGGUAAAGGCCUACCAAGCCUGCGAUCUGUAGUUGGUCUGAGAGGACGACCAGCCACACUGGGACUAAGACACGGCCCAGACUCCUACGGGAGGCAGCAGUGGGGAAUUUUGGACAAUGGGCGCAAGCCUGAUCCAGCAAUGCCGCGUGCAGGAAGAAGGCCUUCGGGUUGUAAACUGCUUUUGUCAGGGAAGAAAUCCUCUGGGUUAAUACCUCGGGGGGAUGACGGUACCUGAAGAAUAAGCACCGGCUAACUACGUGCCAGCAGCCGCCGUAACAC
rnacentral:rRNA from 1 species